AGCCUGAACGCUGGCGGCGUGGUUAAGACAUGCAAGUCGUACGGUGUAGCAAUACACAGUGGCGAACGGGUGAGUAAUGAAUCGCUAAUGUACCCCGGACUCUGGGAUAGCUGCCCGAAAGGGCAGGUAAUACCAGAUAACGUAAUCCUUCCGCAUGGUUGGAUUCCCAAAGGUCCGCCGGUCUGGGAGCAGGCGAUUUUGUAUCAGCUAGUUGGUAGGGUAACGGCCUACCAAGGCGAUGACGCAUAGCCGGACUGAGAGGUUGGCCGGCCACAUUGGGACUGAGACACUGCCCAGACUCCUACGGGGGGCUGCAGUAACGAAUCUUCCGCAAUGCACGAAAGUGUGACGGAGCGACGCCGCGUGUGGGACGAAGCCCGUUCGGGGUGUAAACCACUGUCAGAGGAUAGAAAGUUCUGAUCAUCCUCAGAGGAAGGCACGGCUAACUCUGUGCCAGCAGCCGC
rnacentral:rRNA from 1 species